rnacentral:rRNA from 1 species
AUUCCAGCUCCAAUAGCGUAUAUUAAAGUUGUUGCGGUUAAAAAGCUCGUAGUUGGAUUUCUGUUGAGGACGGCCGGUCCGCACUAUGUGCGUGUAUCUGGUUCGGCCUUGGCAUCCUCUUGAGGAACGUAUCUGCGCUUGAUUGCGUGGAGCGGUAUUCAAGACUUUUACUUUGAGGAAAUUAGAGUGUUCACGGCAGGCAAGCGCCUUGAAUACGUUAGCAUGGAAUGAUAAUAUAGGAUCUUGGUUCUAUUUUGUUGGCUUCUAGAGCUAAGGUAAUGAUUAAUAGGGAUAAUUGGGGGCAUUUGUAUUAACGCGUCGGAGGUGGAAUUCUUGGAUUGCGUUACGACAAACUACUGCGAAAGCAUUUGCCAAGGAUGUUUUCAUUG